AGAGGAAGUGGAGAAAAAAUUUGCAACGGAGAGACGAAACACCUGAAUUGAAAGGCCAUAUCCAGAUAUUAAGUGGACAUUGAGUGCUCAACAUGCUGAAUAGUCCAGGGUCAGGAGGGGAAGACUGUGGCCCAGGUGAGGAAUGUGACAUGAAGAUCAGAAGAGCGAGGGGCUGCUGCCCGAGGACGGUUGAGGGCUUACGGUAAAGGGUGUUUGGUGAGGACGUGAAGCUCCUCCCAACAGCGUCAGGCCUAAAGUGCUGAUCUGCGGUCCCAAGCCCAGGCCCAGACGCCAGGGGGUGCUCUCCUGUAGACAACAAUCCAGAUACAACUCCAGCCUGGACAGAGAGACGGACAGGGACAGACUGUGCCACAAUCCGUCCCACAAAGGAGCAGCAGGAAACCUGCACCGACCACAGUGAAGAGUCUCGGCCCCACCUUCAGCUGGAAAAGCUCCUCCCCUUCCUGCCCUAAAAUAACCAAUAGCGGCGUUUCCUCUGACCCCCGUUGACCCAGACGCAGAUGCAUCAGCACACUCAGCUCAUCUGGAAAACUGUCAUGUAAACGUUAUAGCACAUUCACAAAUAAAUGUACACAUACAGGAGACUGUCCCGCACACACUCAGUCAAAUACACACACUCAUAGGCAUGCUCGUUUUUGCUUGGUCAUUCACUGGACCGUUGUGAGAUGAGAAUACAGGACAGUAUAGAUUUUAAACCCAGGGUUGUGAUGUCACAGAUAGACUUUGCUCAUAGGAAGACGCUUCACAAGCGAAUGUAAACUGUAUCACAAAGCUGACAGAUUCAGAUGACAUUAGUACCCUAAUGUGUGUAAACAGUCAAGGUCAAGUUUAACACCAAAGCCUUCAGCUAAAUCCUUUCAACCUACACAUCAUGGAAAGAAAGACCACCCUAGAUAAACAAGCUCACUGCAGUCACGUGUGACCUUGUCAGCACUCUGAAAAUGAAAAAUGAUCUUUUGUAGUAAAAGAUAAAGAAUUACAGUACAAACUUAGUAGAGUUAGUGUGUAAACGGGAAAUAUUUUUUUUAAAUUGUGUUUGAUUUUCAACAUAUUACAUGAAUUAGAAUCAUGAAUAUAUCGAGGGACAAUGUACAAUGAAUAACAAUAUUAACAUAUAGUAUUUGUUAGAAAUACAUGUUGAUAGAAACUUCUUAUACAAUCUUGUUUUUUCAUUGUAUUGAACAAGAAAGUGACUACUUGUCAUGUGAACAUAAAAACAUUGAGUACAUAUUUUUACAACUAUUUUUUUAGUUCAUUCAACUAUCAAAAUAUAUGCUAAGUGCACAAUGUAUGUGUUGUCAUUCGGCCUUGAACUAAUUAGGCUGUAUCUGCUUUAUAAAUUUGAGUGCAGUUAACUCAAAAAUAAAAAAAUGAUUGACUUAACAUAAAAAAAUUAUGUCAAGCUCACAAGGGAUGAGUGUUUGUGUCAAGUGAACAUAACGUUUUUAUGUCAUUUUGACAGUCCAGAACAUUUGUGUAGAUUUUACAAUAACAUGUUAUGUCAUGGAUGGACUGGGGUUUACAGGAUGGUGAGGUAAGACUAGUAUGUAAGUAAGGCAUUAUUAGUAUAGUAGCAGACGAGUAUAGUUUGCUGGGCCAGAGAUGACUUCCUGUUGCGACCUUUAGUUGUCUUGUGGCUGUGACUCAAUGAAACCAAACCCUGUUUACUAACUGAGAAGUCAUUUUUACAUUAGCUCCUGCGUUGAGCCUAAUCAGUGAUACUUACAGAGGGCCAAAUACUGUAGCUGUUGGUAGGGACAGAGUGGCAUAUUGUCCGAUCUGAUAUGUUGAACAUCCUCGGUCAUCUUCUGUUGUUGACACAUUGUAGUGAGCAGCUGACUGCAUGUCCAGCAGCUGUAAUAGAUCCACUUCUGUA